AGGAAUUAGGAUAAAACGUGAGUAAAGUUUAUAUAUUUUCUAUCACUGUUUAGUUUUUUUCUUUUUUUCUUUUUUUUAU
rnacentral:ribozyme from 1 species